rnacentral:lncRNA from 1 species
CUAUAUUCCCUUACUUUCUUGAGCUCACAAGAAAGUGCAUCAGAGGCUGUAUUUGCUUACCCUAUAGCCACCCCCCUGUCUUCCUUUGACAACAGCAACAGAAGGCCUGUGAUGUUGGGGGUUACAACCCCACGUUCAUUGGCUUUCAGAAAGGGGUCAGUAAUAUGAAAGCAAAAGUUACUGGGCAGGGUUUCUGGGAAAGCUCUUCAAAGGAGGCUGACUCAGCAGGGAGGCAGGUCCUUUUAACCUUUGCCCCUUUUGCCUCUCUGCUGCCUGGGUUGUGGAUAUGACAGCUGGAGCGGAAGUAACUAUUUGGGGAUCAUGAGGUGACUUAAGGACGGAAGCCUCCUGUUAAUCAUGGCAGACAGCACGAUAGAGGAACCUGGGUCACUGAUGGCUACAGAGCUGCUGUCUUCACUCUGGGCGAGACUUCUCUUUACCAGAGAGGAAAAUUUCACCUCCAUCUUAUUCUAGCCUCUGUGAUUUUGGUUCUCUGUUACUUGUAGUCAGGCGCAGUUCUUAACUGACACCAAAGGCUUCGAGCACAGCGGAAGCUUCCUUCCCAGCUCUGUUCGUGAGUAAAGCGGAGUUUGGUGUGGAUGUCCCGGAUUGUUGCUGGGUAUCCAGACCGGGAGGCGGAGCCUGCUGUUUGCAAGCCAGGGACCUUGAAUUGGCCUGGCCCUCUUUGCAGGAACGGGCGGACACACGUGGAAAUUUCACGUCUUAGGACUGGAGGACGAGGAUGGAAGUGUUUGGUGUGGCGGUGCCCAGGGAGAGGAAGGGAAGGCAGGAACGCUGGACAGGAGAGAGGGCUGCGGCUGAGACCUGUGAGCUGUUUCUCUGAGAGGUGAUGGGGAAUCAGAAGGAAGGUCUUAUUUGCGGUGAUGUGGACGGUUAAUGGGUGGAGGAUCCAGAUUCUUUGAAUGUGGUCAUACCACCUUCCAGGCUAUUAGAAUCGAAGGAAGAUGGACUCAUUUAUUAGCCAAAAUACUUGUUUAAAUAGAAUAAAAGUGCCAGCCGACUGGCAAC